rnacentral:rRNA from 1 species
CCCUGGUAGUCCACGCCGUAAACGAUGAGUGCUAAGUGUUGGAGGGUUUCCCCCUUCAGUGCUGCAGUUAACGCAUUAAGCACUCCGCCUGGGGAGUACGGCCGCAAGGCUGAAACUCAAAGGAAUUGACGGGGGCCCGCACAAGCGGUGGAGCAUGUGGUUUAAUUCGAAGCAACGCGAAGAACCUUACCAGGUCUUGACAUCCUUUGACCACUCUAGAGAUAGAGCUUUUCCUUCGGGGACAAAGUGACAGGUGGUGCAUGGUUGUCGUCAGCUCGUGUCGUGAGAUGUUGGGUUAAGUCCCGCAACGAGCGCAACCCUUAUUGUUAGUUGCCAUCAUUCAGUUGGGCACUCUAGCGAGACUGCCGGUGACAAACCGGAGGAAGGUGGGGAUGACGUCAAAUCAUCAUGCCCCUUAUGACCUGGGCUACACACGUGCUACAAUGGACGGUACAAUGAGUCGCGAGACCGCGAGGUUUAGCUAAUCUCUUAAAGCCGUUCUCAGUUCGGAUUGUAGGCUGCAACUCGCCUACAUGAAGCCGGAAUCGCUAGUAAUCGUGGAUCAGCACGCCACGGUGAAUACGUUCCCGGGCCUUGUACACACCGCCCGUCACACCACGAGAGUUUGUAACACCCAAAGUCGGUGAGGUAACCUUUUGGAGCCAGCCGCCUAAGGUGGGAUAGAUGAUUGGGGUGAAGUCGUAACAAGGUAACCA